AGUAUCGGUCAUAUGCGAGGGAAAGUGCCGCUUCCCGUCCGAUCAGCGAAGCGAAGCCCGCGACGGCCCAAUCAGGACUAGCGUGACAGAUAAGCUUGGGAAACUGGGUGAUGCAGUUU
rnacentral:rRNA from 1 species